AACGAACGCUGGCGGCGUGCCUAACACAUGCAAGUCGUGCGAGAAAGCGGGGGCAACCCUGUGAGUAAAGCGGCGCACGGGUGAGUAACACGUAGGUAACCUGCCUCCGAGAUCGGGAUAACCCUCCGAAAGGAAGGCUAAUACCGGAUAAGACCACGGGGCUCUGGCCCUGAGGUCAAAGAUGGCCUCUGCUUGCAAGCUAUCACUUGGAGAUGGGCCUGCGUACCAUUAGCUAGUUGGUGAGGUAACGGCUCACCAAGGCGAAGAUGGUUAGCUGGUCUGAGAGGAUGAUCAGCCACACUGGGACUGAGACACGGCCCAGACUCCUACGGGAGGCAGCAGUGGGAAUAUUGGACAAUGGGGAAACCCUGAUCCAGCGACGCCGCGUGGGUGAUGAAGGCC
rnacentral:rRNA from 1 species